CCGAAGGGUAGAAUGAAAUUUGACGAUCUUUCUUAAUAGGCAGAGUUGAAGGGAACGGAAGGAUAGCAAUUCCCAAAAGUGAGAAGAAGGUGCGAGUGAAUCGAAGCUCAGAGAAAGGAGAAAGAAGAAAGGAUGGUGAAAGUGGCCACGUAUUUUGCUAUGACUCUUGGAGCAUUCAUCUUCUGGCAGUCCAUGGACAGGGUCCAUGUCUGGAUCGCACUUCAUCAGGACGAAAAGAAGGAAAGACAGGAGAAGGAAGCUGAGAUCAGAAGAGUCAGAGAAGAAUUGUUGCGCCAGCAGCAGCUCCAGAACACUCAAAAGGAUUCUUGAUUCCCAAAAUCUUGUAAUUCUUUUCCUGCCCGUUCCCGUUACCCUUAUGUUCCCCCCAAAUAAUGAUCACAUUUUUUCAUAUGAACUAAUUCUGCGAUAUUCUGCUUGCCGGUGGCAAUUGUUAUAUUAUAAACCUUUGUUUUUUUGUUGAAAUCGCUGUUAUCACUCUUAAUCACUUGUUUUGUAGUAGUUAUUCUAAAGACAGAAACUUCGGUACAAAAAUUGUUUCCAAUGCAUAGCAAUGGUGGUAGUAGUACUAUUGGAAACUUGCCACUGUUGGUUCUAAACGCCAGAUAGUAAUCUAUUUAUCUAUCUAUAAGACAUGAAUUUUAGUGGAGCCAUAGCUUAUAUGGAAUUUUCUCGUUUUUUUGAAAUUUUUGGAAAAUUUUUCUUCGAUUAUGUUGUCGGAUGAUGCGGGGGUUAUGGAAGAAGUUCCAUUGCAGAUGGUUAGGGAUCCCAAUGAUUACGCAAUGUGACAAUUGAUUUGAAAGUAUUAACUGUAGACUGGGUUUCCUUCAAUUUAUUCAGUAUCUGUUGGGAUUUACUCUAAUAGGAGGUUGGGGUCUUAGUUUUGCUAUGAAAGUUUCUGUGAUUCAUUAUUGUGUAUUAGUUCUUCUAUUUUAUUUUUUUUACUAUGAUGAUUCGAAGGAUUUUGUCCACAUGGGACCUCAAUUGUUUCAGAAUGUAAAUCAAAGGCUAAGAUUGAAGACAUUUGCGAGGAACACCUACAUAUUAGAGAGUAAUAUUUUUUUUAUGCUUUUUAGUGUCACAGUUAAGUGGUUUUGGUAUAUUGUUUAUAUAUACAUUUAAUACGAUUUCUUUCUACGAUACCUUAUGUUCUUGGUAAGGGAUUAAAGGCCUCAAUCUUAAGAUGUCUUUAUCUUUAGUGUAACUGCCAUGAAAUUUUCAGGCUGGGAAAAUAAAUACUCAACACUUAAAUGUCUAGUAUGAUGAGAAUCUUUAUUUAUGACAAGAAAUUAUCUAUGGGUAUUUGCUAGAUAUUGUUCUUUGUAAAAGUGGAAACCAGUUAUGACAAUCUUCUUCUCAUUCCCUUGAUUCAUUCUUGCAUAUGGUGUGUAAGAAUUUGGUUGUAGAGAAAGCUGCAGAAUUGCUUUCUAUCAAUGAUAUUAAUCUACCUCUUUCACUCAAAGUAAAAGCAUUAUCGGAGAUAGGCAUGACUUGAAAGAAAAAUAUGCUGACCGUUCUUCAAGGGCUGACAGGAGCUGUAGUUUCCAUUUUUUUCUCCUCGGUUGCAAUUGGUAGGAGUUGAGCCCGAGACCUUUGAGAUGGGAAGGGGGCAGAAUGCCAUGCGAGUACAAAUUCAAGGUCUUUUGAAACUGCUGUUCAGCUUUUAGAGUGCUAUUCUUGCAAGUUGCUUCCAUGGUGUUCCACUCAGCAAAGCUUAUAUAUUACAUUUACUUUGUUGCUGCCCGUAUUUGAGUUUUCUUUUCUAAUUAGCUGAUAUGUGAAAUUAUCUGAUAUUUUGCAUUAGAAAUAAAUGGGUAAAGUGGUAUAAAAG